GAUUUCUGACGAACCGGAGUGGCCCGUUUCCUUUUCGGGGAUGAGUGCCACUUUGAGUUUGUCAUCCUUCCAGAGCUGCGUCUACCGUUUACUCGGCCGGAUAUAUGCGAUCUGGAUCUAUUACUUUGAAAAAAUUAGAGUGUUUAAAGCAGGCUUACGCUGUGAAUACAUUAGCAUGGAAUAAUAACUUAGGACUUUGGUUCUAUUUUGUUGGUUUCUAGGACCGAAGUAAUGAUUGAUAGGAAUAGUUGGGGGUGCUAGUAUUCCACGGCCAGAGGUGAAAUUCUUGGAUCUAACUACUGCGAAAGCAUU
rnacentral:rRNA from 1 species